AAUCCUUACUAUAGUGAUAUUCGUUGCUCCUCUCGUGUCGUGGUUUUUCCCUUAUUUAGGAGGGUUUCCACGUAAAAUCUUGGUGUCAUUAUUUCUCUUUUAUUCUCGUUGAUUAACCGUAUUGUUGUGAUCCGCAUUUAUUGCCUUUAUUACCGCAAAUAUUAUCCCUGUUACGGAUUUAUUUCCAACAAUUGAUAUCAGAGCCCAGGUUGUCAACAAGUCUCAGCCCACCGGGAGAAGCUGGGUUGUCGUUCUCUCCAGCCCAAGGCCCGAUGUGUGUAGGGGGAGAUUGUUGAGUUAUCCCACAUUGGAAGUGGAAGGGGCUGGUGGUCAAUUUAUAAGUGUGAGGGAAAGCCUCAACCUUUGAGUUAGCUUUUGGGUUGAGAAGGCCCAAGACUACCCAACAGUAUAUUCUGUGUUUCAUACAUUAUCGAAGCUUGAGAACUUGAAUUUCGGUCUUGUUAAGCUGGAUAAUGUCAAUGGAGAUCUGAUCUUCAACCUAAAAGCUCUGAUACCAUGAUAAAUUGCAGAAUCUAAACUAUUCUAGAUGCAAAUAUGAAAUGCAUUACUAGAGAGUAUAACUGCUAUCCUCCAUUUCUUUUCAAUGAAUCAAAGUAAUCUGUAUUUUUUGUGUUAGCCUCUACAUUACAUAUACACUCAUUUAUAUAGAACGUACUGAUUCAUUAUUGAUUAACUAACACAUGCUCUAUUAUAACAAACUUUGUAACAAACUUCUAACUACCACUAGCAGCUUUACGUUUCUUUGCUUCUUCUUCUUUUAAUCUCAAUACGUUGCCAUCAUAUUAUUUGUUAAUUUUUUUGCUUUUCAUUUGUAAUUUUAGUUGCAAUUUUAUUUGUUCUUUUGACCUUCAAACUUCUCCCCUCCCUUUUAAUUGCUUAUUUAUUAGAUAUAUUAACAUUUUAUUUUUUGUUCUAAUAUAAUUUGAUUUCUAUGUUGAGGUACUCAUUACCAACAUUGAUUCCGACUCAAAUUUCAAAAAUAAAGGGCAUCCGGUAUAGCCAAAGAAUCAUAUUGCACAAUGAAGAGAGAAGCUAUGGAAAUUUGGACAAGUAAAGAUUGCAAUUGUGACAAAGACGGCUCUUAUACAAAGAAGCAGUACUUUCUCUAUAUUUGGUUUAAAAGUUUUCUUUUGUAUUUCAAGAAUCAAGUGUUGUCUUUUUUUUUAUGGCCUUACCACUGCAAGUGUUCAUAUCACUUUAGGAAUUCAAAGUUUUGAAGUUUAUUUAUUUGUAUUCUAAAUAUCAAUGAACUCGAUAGUUAGAUGA